GCUAUAGCUCAGUUGGAUAGAGCGACCGCCUCCUAAGCGGUAGGCCGGAGGUUCGACUCCUCUUAGC
rnacentral:tRNA from 1 species